rnacentral:miRNA from 1 species
GUCGGUGGGAUUUUCGUCUGUC